UACGUAGGGGGGCGAGCGUUGUCCGGAGUUACUGGGCGUAAAGGGCACGCAGGCGGUGCGGCGCGUUUCGCGUGACAGCGGAGGGCUUAACUCUCCGAGGAUGCGAAAGACGGCGGCACUUGAGGGCCAGAGAGGGACACGGAAUUCCGGGUGGAGUGGUGAAAUGCGUAGAGAUCCGGAGGAACACCGAAGGCGAAGGCAGUGUCCUGGCUGGUGACUGACGCUGAGGUGCGAAAGCUAGGGGAGCGAACGGG
rnacentral:rRNA from 1 species